rnacentral:rRNA from 1 species
GACGAACGCUGGCGGCGUGCUUAACACAUGCAAGUCGAACGGAAAGGCCUCUUUCGGGGGGUACUCGAGUGGCGAACGGGUGAGUAACACGUGAGUAACCUGCCCUUGACUUUGGGAUAACUUCAGGAAACUGGGGCUAAUACCGGAUAGGAGCUCCUGCUGCAUGGUGGGGGUUGGAAAGUUUCGGCGGUUGGGGAUGGACUCGCGGCUUAUCAGCUUGUUGGUGGGGUAGUGGCUUACCAAGGCUUUGACGGGUAGCCGGCCUGAGAGGGUGACCGGCCACAUUGGGACUGAGAUACGGCCCAGACUCCUACGGGAGGCAGCAGUGGGGAAUAUUGCACAAUGGGUGGAAGCCCGAUGCAGCAACGCCGUGUGCGGGAGGACGGCCUUCGGGUUGUAAACCGCUUUCGCUCGUGACGAAGCUUUGUGUGACGGUAGUGGGUAAAGAAGCACCGGCUAACUACGUG